UCCAGCUUCAUCAUUAGUACAUUAUUUAAGCUUGCCAUAGAAAAUAGUUAUCAAGCCAGCCCAAUUGUGAAAAUAUGCAGUUUUUGAUUUACAGCUUUUUUGUACUAUUCUUCCUUUCAAAAUAUCUAUGCUUUGUUGACGCCAUGGCUAUCCCUGGUGGUGAAGAAGAGUGGGGAUAUCCAAUUCUGGGAUGGCCUCAUUGGGUCGGGUACACUUCUUACAUGAAUGAUCCUGUUCAUUUUUAUGACUAUGGUCACAAGUAAAUUUUUUCCUGAUGUUGGAAAAUUCAGUUUGGUAACAUGAUAGUAAAUCAGAAAGUGGAAAAUCAAAACACAGAGAGUGUGACUUGAAGCCCGUUUUAAAAACUUUGUUGUUAAACUAUUGCAAAUAAAAAUAAUUU